rnacentral:rRNA from 1 species
CCUACGGGAGGCAGCAGUGGGGAAUAUUGCACAAUGGGGGAAACCCUGAUGCAGCGACGCCGCGUGAGUGAAGAAGUAUUUCGGUAUGUAAAGCUCUAUCAGCAGGAACGAGACAAGACGGUACCUGACUAAGAAGCCCCGGCUAACUACGUGCCAGCAGCCGCGGUAAUACGUAGGGGGCAAGCGUUAUCCGGAAUCACUGGGUGCAAAGGGAGCGUAGACGGCUGAGCAAGCCUGAAGUGAAAGGCGGGGGCCCAACCCCCGGACUGCUUUGGGAACUGUACGGCUGGAGUGCAGGAGAGGAAAGUGGAAUUCCUAGUGUAGCGGUGAAAUGCGUAGAUAUUAGGAGGAACACCAGUGGUGAAGGCGGCUUACUGGACUGUAACUGACGUUGAGGCUCGAAAGCGUGGGGGGCAAACAGGAUUAGAUACCCGGGUAGUC